UAUUGCACAAUGGGCGCAAGCCUGAUGCAGCCAUGCCGCGUGUGUGAAGAAGGCCUUCGGGUUGUAAAGCACUUUCAGUCAGGGGGAAAGGUUAGUAGUUAAUACCUGCUAGCUGUGACGUUACUGACAGAAGAAGCACCGGCUAACUCCGUGCCAGCAGCCGCGGUAAUACGGAGGGUGCGAGCGUUAAUCGGAAUUACUGGGCGUAAAGCGUACGCAGGCGGUUUGUUAAGCGAGAUGUGAAAGCCCCGGGCUCAACCUGGGAACUGCAUUUCGAACUGGCAAACUAGAGUGUGAUAGAGGGUGGUAGAAUUUCAGGUGUAGCGGUGAAAUGCGUAGAGAUCUGAAGGAAUACCGAUGGCGAAGGCAGCCACCUGGGUCAACACUGACGCUCAUGUACUAAA
rnacentral:rRNA from 1 species